GCACGAAGCGGCCCCUCCCGGUCCCAGCCCUCCGCGGGCUCUCGUCGGCCGCCAGGUACCGGGCAGCAACUCCCGGAGCCGCGCGGGGCGGGGCAGAGUGCCGCGCCGCCGCGGUGGCUGCUGGGAAUUGUAGUUGCUCGCCCCUCCGCCCGCAGCCCUGCCGCGCGGUGCAGCCGCAGGAGAGACUCUACCUCCCACAAUGCACCGCGCGCCCAUUCCCCUUCACAGCCCGCUUCUCCUGCACCGGCCCGGCGGAAUCCGCUAAAUAAACCACCACCCACCUCCACCCCCCCAACCCCCCCUCGGCUCCCACCCUGCGAGGCCGCCGGGCACCCCCACAGUCCGGGCCCACCCACCCCUCAGCAACCUGGCUCCCUCGCAGCCAGCCACAAGGGCCGGCCGCGGCCUCACCCGCUCGCGAGCUGGGUCGGAGAAACUGCGUCACACCCUCAGAGCACCCCCGGUUCCGGCCGGUCCUGCUGCCCUCGCCCGCCGCCGCCGCCGCCGUAUGGGCCACCCCCGUGCAGCGCCAGCCCCUCCCGGCCCCCCCCGGAGCAGCCCGCUGAGGGCCGCCGGGCACCUGCUAUCCCCACGGGGCCGCCGCUCCCAGGUGUGCGCACCGCCUCGCUCCCCACCAGCUCCGCACCCGCAGGCCUGACGCCCUCCGCCGUCACCGGGAGCCCCGACGGCGCGUUCGGCCGAGCCUCCUCGGUGAGGGGCAGAAGAAACCGCCCCCACCCGGGCGGCAGCGCCCGCCGGCGGAGAAAAACAGGCCGGUGGCGCCGCCGGUGGGCGGGCGGGCGAGAGCGCGUGGCCCGGCCCCGCCGCUACUCACUGACAGCGGCGGCAUCCGAGUGCAUUUUCGUGCGGCGCACACACUGCCCUGCCCGGCCCGGCUCCCGCUGCCCUCUCCCAAUCACAGAGCCUAAGCACGGACACCUCCCGCCCCGCCCACCGGCGGCACCCAUUGGCUCGGGCUGCCCGGAGAGGCCGCACAUCCUGCUCCCGAACUGCACGAGACUCCUGCCACUCUCCCUCUGCCUGCCCCGCCCCGCCUUUCCCCCGCUCCCGAGCUCCCAUUGGGUUGGAGGCCGAGCGGGGCCCGCCCCCCUGCGUUCUGACUGGGCCUUGCCGGUGACAGUCGUCCCUGGCCUUGAAAGCGCGUGCAGAGAACGCCACAUCGCGUCACCCCUGGCUCUGAUUGGCUACCGAGUCCCAGGGCCGCGCCCACACCCCGACACGAUUGGGUAA
rnacentral:lncRNA from 1 species